UACGGAGGGGGCUAGCGUUGUUCGGAAUUACUGGGCGUAAAGCGCACGUAGGCGGCUUUGUAAGUUAGAGGUGAAAGCCCAGGGCUUAACCCUGGAAUUGCCUUUAAGACUGCAUCGCUAGAAUUGUGGAGAGGUAAGUGGAAUUCCGAGUGUAGAGGUGAAAUUCGUAGAUAUUCGGAAGAACACCAGUGGCGAAGGCGGCUCACUGGCCCGGUACUGACGCUGAGGUGCGAAAGCGUGGGGAGCAAACAGG
rnacentral:rRNA from 1 species